rnacentral:rRNA from 2 species
CCGGGUUGCGGACAGUGUCUGGUGGGUAGUUUGACUGGGGCGGUCUCCUCCUAAAGAGUAACGGAGGAGCACGAAGGUUAGCUAAUCCUGGUCGGACAUCAGGAGGUUAGUGCAAAGGCAUAAGCUAGCUUGACUGCGAGAGUGACGGCUCGAGCAGGUGCGAAAGCAGGUCUUAGUGAUCCGGUGGUUCUGAAUGGAAGGGCCAUCGCUCAACGGAUAAAAGGUACUCCGGGGAUAACAGGCUGAUACCGCCCAAGAGUUCAUAUCGACGGCGGUGUUUGGCACCUCGAUGUCGGCUCAUCACAUCCUGGGGCUGAAGUAGGUCCCAAGGGUAUGGCUGUUCGCCAUUUAAAGUGGUACGCGAGCUGGGUUUAGAACGUCGUGAGACAGUUCGGUCCCUAUCUGCCGUGGGCGCUGGAGAAUUGAGGGGGGCUGCUCCUAGUACGAGAGGACCGGAGUGGACGCAUCACUGGUGUUCGGGUUGUCAUGCCAAUGGCAUUGCCCGGUAGCUAAAUGCGGAAGAGAUAAGUGCUGAAAGCAUCUAAGCACGAAACUUGCCCCGAGAUGAGUUCUCCCUGACUCCUUGAGAGUCCUGAAGGAACGUUGAAGACGACGACGUUGAUAGGUCGGGUGUGUAAGUGUAGCGAUACAUUGAGCUAACCGAUACUAAUGAACCGUGAGGCUUAACCUU